GACGAACGCUGGCGGCGUGCUUAACACAUACAAGUCGAACGGAAAGGCCCUGCUUUUGUGGGGUGCUCGAGUGGCGAACGGGUGAGUAACACGUGAGUAACCUGCCCUUGACUUUGGGAUAACUUCAGGAAACUGGGGCUAAUACCGGAUAGGAGCUCCUGCCGCAUGGUGGGGGUUGGAAAGUUUCGGCGGUUGGGGAUGGACUCGCGGCUUAUCAGCUUGUUGGUGGGGUAGUGGCUUACCAAGGCUUUGACGGGUAGCCGGCCUGAGAGGGUGACCGGCCACAUUGGGACUGAGAUACGGCCCAGACUCCUACGGGAGGCAGCAGUGGGGAAUAUUGCACAAUGGGCGGAAGCCUGAUGCAGCAACGCCGCGUGCGGGAUGACGGCCUUCGGGUUGUAAACCGCUUUCGCCUGUGACGAAGCGUGAGUGACGGUAAUGGGUAAAGAAGCACCGGCUAACUACGUG
rnacentral:rRNA from 1 species